CCCUUAGAUGUCCGGGGCCGCACGCGCGCUACACUGAAGGAAUCAGCGUGGCUUUCUCCCUGACCCGAAAGGGUUGGGAAACCCGUUGAAUCUCCUUCGUGAUAGGGAUUGGGGCUUGAAAUUGUUCCCCAUGAACGAGGAAUUCCCAGUAAGCGCGAGUCAUAAGCUCGCGUUGAUUACGUCCCUGCCCUUUGUACACACCGCCCGUCGCACCUACCGAUUGAAUGGUCCGGUGAAAUCUUCGGAUUGAGACUUUGAUUUGUUUACUCAAAACGCUGUUUCAAGAAGUUGAUUAAACCUUACCAUUUAGAGGAAGGUGAAGUCGUAACA
rnacentral:rRNA from 1 species